rnacentral:lncRNA from 1 species
GGCUGGAGUGCAGUGUUAGGAUCUCGGCUCACUGCAAGCUCCGCCUCCCAGCUUCAUGCCAUUCUCCUGCCUCAGCCUCCCGAGUAGCUGGGACUACAGGCGCCCGCCACCACGCCCGGCUAAUUUUUGGAAUUUUUAGUAGAGACGGGGUUUCACCGUGUUAGCCAGGAUGGUCUCGAUCUCCUGACCUUGUGAUGCUCCCGCCUCGGCCUCCCAAAGUGCUGGGAUUACAGGCGUGAGGCGGGCAGAUCACAAGGUCAGGAGAUCGAGACCAUCCUGGCUAACACAGUGAAACCCAUCUCUACUAAAAAUACAAAAAAUUAGCCGCGUGUGGUCAUGGGCGUCUGUAGUACCAGCUACUUGGGAGGCUGAGGCAGGAGAAUGGGGUGAACCCAGGAGGCGGAGCUUGCAGUGAGCUGAGAUUGCACCCCUGCACUCCAGCCUGGGUGACAGAGAGAGACUCCGUCUCAAAAAAAAAAAAAAAGAAAAAAGAGGGACAAUGAUGUCAAGAGGUCUUGUCUCUGGGGCUGCUCAGUCUUCCUAAUUAUCUACAGGAAAACUUUUGUGUUUUUUUCUUUUCUUUUUUUUUUUGAGACAGAGUUUCGCUCUUGUUGCCCAGGCUGGAGUGCUAUGGCACUAUCUCGGCUCACCACAGCCUCCGCCUCCCAGGUUCAAGCAAUUCUCCUGCCUCAGCCUCCCGAGUAGCUAAGAUUACAGGCAUGCAUCACUACGCCUGGCUAAUUUUGUAUUUUUAAUAGAGACGGGGUUUCUCCAUGUUGAGGCUGGUCUCGAACUCCUGACCUCAGGUGAUCUGCCCACCUCAGCCUCCCAAAGUGCUGGGAUUACAGGCGUGAGCCACCGCGCCCGGCCCUCUUUUUUUAUUUUUUUGAGACAGUCUCGCUCUGUCACCCAGGUUGGAGUGCAGUGGUGUGAUCUUGGCUCACUGCAACCUCCGCCUCCUGGGUUCAAGCAAUUCUUCUGCCUCUGCCUCCUGAGUAGCUGGGACUACAGGUGCACACCACCAUGCCUGGCUAAUUUUUGGUAUUUUUAGUAGAGACGGGGGUCUCACCGUGUUAGCCAGGAUGGUCUCCAUCUCCUGACUUCGUGAUGCUCCCGCCUUGGCCUCCCAAAAUGCUGGGAUUACAGGUGUGAGCCUCUUUGCCUGGCCAAAACUUUUCUUUUUUAAAUUGAUAUUAGGAAACUGAAUUAUAUAGCUUUUUUUUUUUUUU